CAACAACUCUCCUGUCACUGCACACAGAUUAGAAAUGUGCAGUUCUUGGGGGGGUACCGCUGCGGCACCGCUGCGGCUGCCAAAGCUCGGGAACAUUACUGAUUGUGAAAUUUUGGUUGCAGGUUGUAUUUCACUCACCCUGGGCUGAAGAGGGUACCAGGCUGGUUUACUCUGGCUCCAAUCACACUGAUUGAGCUGCACCUCCACCUCCCCCAAGAACAGGUUCCUCCGGACACGCUCCAUAUGCCACACUGACACACUGAGGACACGAGCCAGCAGACUUCUUGAGCCCCAGCCACAGGUCUAGGGGAUCUCCAACGAGCCCAAGCCAACUAAGAAACCUAAUCUCUCUAGCAGGUCCUAGGCCUGCCCACAAGGUCUUCAUCCAAUGGGAUAUGCUUGAUACAGCUCUACCGAGAACCAAUUCCAGGCAUGCUUGUAAGAUAAACCACUUCAACUGGCUCCUAUCAAUUCACAGGAGAAGCUCCCUAACUCAAAAUCUCUACUUGAUUAUCAAACUUUUCACCUUAUUACAAAGAGUAUGCCCAGAAACCUUGCAGAGAAUUUAUACUGCCUGUAUUGGAGAUCUUAUUCUUUCAAUCACAGCCCUAAGUCAGACCACCACAGAAGGGACCCAAUCAGUUUGUCAAUCUCACACUCUAUUUUUCUAUUACUCAUUAAUAAGAUCCUAAGUUACUUAAACUCCUUUCCUAGAGUCAAGGUUUUUCUCUCUCUAAUUUUGAUUCCAACACCCACCUUAAAUGGUUUCAACUUAAUGUAAAUUGACAAUCCAAGGUUCACUGAAGUUCACAAAACCCGUCAUCAAGGCUAUAUAUGUAUUAAUAUUUUAAAAAAUCAAUUACUUGUUACUUUAACAUUGUGCUUAUUCAUGCUAAGACUUAUGGCUUGUUAAUGUUAAGUAAUGGAUUGUAUUAUGCAAUGCAAUUGUACUGUAUACCUACAAAGUGACUUAUGUGGUAGGUUUAUAUGAUAUGUAGUUAAUAGCAUCAUCAACAACAAGAACAACAAUAAUAGCAUACUUGAAAGCUAUACUUUACUAUGCAAUUAUAACUGAUAUAGAUUCUUACCUUGACU